CCACUUUAAAAAUUCUCAGCAGUGAGCACUUUCCAUUGAAAAAGAAACAUUAAACGCUUUUGUUUUGCCAUAUUAACAAGCUACUGUACAUAUGACACAGUACACCAGACAACAACAGAGGGAGGGAGCUUCUUCUACUUGUAGGAAUGAACUGGAUAGAUAAGAGUCAAACUGAGUUGGUAUUGGCUCAGGGUCAGUCGGAACUCACAACGAGUCACUGCUAGAUGGAACCUUAGAAUCGAAAACAAUUCAUUCUAAUUCUAGAGUUGGAACUCGUGUACUUCAUUCAAAGAUUCAAUUCAAAUAUCAGUGCCUUAUCGUAUAAUGCCAAAAAUCAAUACAUUUUUGUUAACAACUUCUUUCUUUACAAAUGCAAAAUUUAAAAAAAAAGUAUGCAAAAAUAACAGUCAGUCAUUAAUGAAACACAGAGAAUUAUCUUAACUUAUAUUAAGUAAACAGCCCACAAUGUAAAGUAAUGUAACUUACUUUAAUUAAGUUAACUACAGUAGCAUUGCCAGUCAGGUACACAGAACCUGCCCAACUUUACUGUAAUUAACUACAGUAGCACUGCCAGUCAGGUACACAGAACCUGCCCAACUUUACUGUAAUUAACUACAGUAGCACUGCCAGUCAGGUACACAGAACCUGCCCAACUUACUGUAAUUAACUACAGUAGCACUGCCAGUCAGGUACACAGAACCUGUCCAACUUUACUGUAAUUAACUACAGUAGCACUGCCAGUCAGGUACACAGAACCUGCCCAACUUUACUGUAAUUAACUACAGUAGCACUGCCAGUCAGGUACACAGAACCUGCCCAACUUUACUGUAAUUAACUACAGUAGCACUGCCAGUCAGGUACACAGAAGCCGCCCUUACCAUAACAGACAGUGGUUACCUUACUGAACGUGCGUCCGAAAUGGCACCCUAUUCCCUGUAUAGUGCACUACUACUGAUCUGGUCUGGUCAAAAGUAGUGCACUAUAGAGAGAACAGGGUGCCAUUUCAGUAAGCACUUAAGAAUACGAAGUAGUAAAAUGAUCAACACAUGUACGCCUACGCAUUACAGUCAUUCAUCAGCAUAACGAAGCAUGUCGGUUUUUAAAAGGGUUUUAAGGACAUUGAGGACAUUUUCCCUCAAAACUUAGAUGAUAUUCUCGUGGAUGAGAAUGAUUAAAUCUCACUGAGAUUAUUAUUAUUAUUAUUAAUGCACAUAUUUGCUACAAGACAAUUUUAUAGUAGAGUCAUUUUUUUACAUGACAAUUCUUAAAAUGUUUACUUUCUUUCUUACCUUAGAUCAUGAAAAAUAUUUUUGUGUAUUUUCUGUUUUUGUUGUUGUUGUUGCUACGGGCCUUCGUUCGUCAUUCCAUCGUUACAUUUGUCCAUUAUAAGGUUUAUGUGACAAAGCUAUGUUUCAUAUCAUAAACAUGUAGUGAAAUAAAAGAGAACCUACAAAGUUUGUCUGUUGAAAACAGGGAACCUCAUCGACAUCUUUCCUCACAGACAUGUCUUUCCUUUCCUCAUAGACAUGUCUUUCCUUUCCUCAUAGACAUCUUUCCUCAUAGACAUGUCUUUCCUUUCCUCACAGACAUGUCUUUCCUUUCCUCAUUGACAUGUCUUUCCUUUCCUCAUAGACAUGUCUUUCCUUUCCUCAUAGACAUGUCUUUCCUUUCCUCAUAGACAUGUCUUUCCUUUCCUCACAGACAUGUCUUUCCUUUCCUCACAGACAUGUCUUUCCUUUCCUCAUAGACAUGUCUUUCCUUUCCUCACAGACAUGUCUUUCCUUUCCUCACAGACAUGUCUUUCCUUUCCUCAUAGACAUGUCUUUCCUUUCCUCAUAGACGUCUUUCCUUUCCUCAUAGACAUGUCUUUCCUUUCCUCAUAGACAUGUCUUUCCUUUCCUCAUAGACAUCUUUCCUUUCCUCAUAGACAUGUCUUUCCUUUCCUCAUUGACAUGUCUUUCCUUUCCUCAUAGACAUGUCUUUCCUUUCCUCAUAGACGUCUUUCCUUUCCUCAUAGACAUGUCUUUCCUUUCCUCAUUGACAUGUCUUUCCUUUCCUCAUAGACAUGUCUUUCCUUUCCUCAUAGACGUCUUUCCUUUCCUCAUAGACAUGUCUUUCCUUUCCUCACAGACAUGUCUUUCCUUUCCUCACAGACAUGUCUUUCCUUUCCUCAUAGACAUGUCUUUCCUUUCCUCAUUGACAUGUCUUUCCUUUCCUCAUAGACAUGUCUUUCCUUUCCUCAUAGACGUCUUUCCUUUCCUCAUAGACAUGUCUUUCCUUUCCUCACAGACAUGUCUUUCCUUUCCUCAUAGACAUGUCUUUCCUUUCCUCACAGACAUGUCUUUCCUUUCCUCAUAGACAUGUCUUUCCUUUCCUCAUAGACGUCUUUCCUUUCCUCAUAGACAUGUCUUUCCUUUCCUCAUAGACGUGUCUUUCCUUUCCUCAUAGACAUCUUUCCUUUCCUCAUAGACAUGUCUUUCCUUUCCUCAUUGACAUGUCUUUCCUUUCCUCAUAGACAUGUCUUUCCUUUCCUCAUAGACGUCUUUCCUUUCCUCAUAGACAUGUCUUUCCUUUCCUCAUAGACAUGUCUUUCCUUUCCUCAUAGACAUCUUUCCUUUCCUCAUAGACAUGUCUUUCCUUUCCUCACUGACAUGUCUUUCCUUUCCUCACAGACAUGUCUUUCCUUUCCUCAUAGACAUGUCUUUCCUUUCCUCAUAGACAUGUCUUUCCUUUCCUCAUUGACAUGUCUUUCCUUUCCUCACUGACAUGUCUUUCCUUUCCUCAUAGACAUGUCUUUCCUUUCCUCACAGACAUGUCUUUCCUUUCCUCAUUGACAUGUCUUUCCUUUCCUCAUAGACAUGUUUCCUCAUUGACAUGUCUUUCCUUUCCUCACAGACAUGUCUUUCCUUUCCUCAUUGACAUGUCUUUCCUUUCCUCACAGACAUGUCUUUCCUUUCCUCAUUGACAUGUCUUUCCUUUCCUCAUAGACAUGUUUCCUCACUGACAUGUCUUUCCUUUCCUCAUAGACAUGUCUUUCCUUUCCUCACUGACAUGUCUUUCCUUUCCUCAUAGACAUGUCUUUCCUUUCCUCACAGACAUGUCUUUCCUUUCCUCAUUGACAUGUCUUUCCUUUCCUCAUAGACAUGUUUCCUCAUUGACAUGUCUUUCCUUUCCUCACAGACAUGUCUUUCCUUUCCUCAUUGACAUGUCUUUCCUUUCCUCAUUGACAUGUCUUUCCAGUGUUUCCGCUUAAAAAAGGUUCUGAGCACAACGCCUAUAGAAUCGGAUGACAUCACAGAAAUGUCUGCAACCGGGCAAAUAUUUCAUGCCACCACUCUUCUGUUUCGUUCUUGUCAAUAAAACCAAUGCGAUUGUUCUCUUUCAAAGCACACAUCAGAGACCUAUUAUUAUAAUUA
rnacentral:lncRNA from 1 species